UACUCCGGGGAUAACAGGCUGAUACCGCCCAAGAGUUCAUAUCGACGGCGGUGUUUGGCACCUCGAUGUCGGCUCAUCACAUCCUGGGGCUGAAGUAGGUCCCAAGGGUAUGGCUGUUCGCCAUUUAAAGUGGUACGCGAGCUGGGUUUAGAACGUCGUGAGACAGUUCGGUCCCUAUCUGCCGUGGGCGCUGGAGAACUGAGGGGGGCUGCUCCUAGUACGAGAGGACCGGAGUGGACGCAUCACUGGUGUUCGGGUUGUCAUGCCAAUGGCACUGCCCGGUAGCUAAAUGCGGAAGAGAUAAGUGCUGAAAGCAUCUAAGCACGAAACUUGCCCCGAGAUGAGUUCUCCCUGACUCCUUGAGAGUCCUGAAGGAACGUUGAAGACGACGACGUUGAUAGGCCGGGUGUGUAAGCGCAGCGAUGCGUUGAGCUAACCGGUACUAAUGAACCGUGAGGCUUAACCUUACAACGCCGAAG
rnacentral:rRNA from 1 species